rnacentral:rRNA from 1 species
AUUGAACGCUGGCGGCAUGCCUUACACAUGCAAGUCGAACGGCAGCAUAGGAGCUUGCUCCUGAUGGCGAGUGGCGAACGGGUGAGUAAUAUAUCGGAACGUGCCCUAGAGUGGGGGAUAACGCAGCGAAAGUUGCGCUAAUACCGCAUACGAUCUACGGAUGAAAGUGGGGGAUCGCAAGACCUCAUGCUCGUGGAGCGGCCGAUAUCUGAUUAGCUAGUUGGUAGGGUAAAAGCCUACCAAGGCAUCGAUCAGUAGCUGGUCUGAGAGGACGACCAGCCACACUGGAACUGAGACACGGUCCAGACUCCUACGGGAGGCAG